GACAGAGGGUGCAAACGUUGUUCGGAUUUACUGGGCGUAAAGCGCGUGUAGGCGGCCUUGCAAGUUGGAUGUGAAAGCCCACGGCUCAACCGUGGAAGCGCAUCCAAAACUGCAUCGCUCGAGUCUCGGAGAGGAAGGUGGAAUGCUUGGUGUAGAGGUGAAAUUCGUAGAUAUCAAGCAGAACACCUGCGGCGAAGGCGGCCUUCUGGACGGUGACUGACGCUGAGACGCGAAAGCGUGGGGAGCAAACAGG
rnacentral:rRNA from 1 species